rnacentral:rRNA from 1 species
CCUACGGGAGGCUGCAGUGGGGAAUAUUGGACAAUGGGGGCAACCCUGAUCCAGCCAUGCCGCGUGUGUGAAGAAGGCCCUCGGGUUGUAAAGCACUUUCAGUGAGGAAGAACGCCUGGUGGUUAAUACCCAUCAGGAAAGACAUCACUCACAGAAGAAGCACCGGCUAACUCCGUGCCAGCAGCCGCGGUAAUACGGAGGGUGCGAGCGUUAAUCGGAAUUACUGGGCGUAAAGCGCGCGUCGGUGGCUUGAUAAGCCGGUUGUGAAAGCCCCGGGCUCAACCUGGGAACGGCAUCCGGAACUGUCAAGCUAGAGUGCAGGAGAGGAAGGUAGAAUUCCCGGUGUAGCGGUGAAAUGCGUAGAGAUCGGGAGGAAUACCAGUGGCGAAGGCGGCCUUCUGGACUGACACUGACACUGAGGUGCGAGAGCGUGGGUAGCAAACAGGAUUAGAUACCACGGUAGUC